rnacentral:lncRNA from 1 species
UUUGGACGUACAGCUGUUCCAGAGCCGUAUCCACCGGAAAUUUUAGAAAGCGAUUUCUUUGAAGAACUUACUUCCUCGUCCUGCUACAAUCAAAGCAAGGUCAGUCCAGCAAAACAAAGAUCAAAGAAAAAGACUUACACGAGAAGUUUCAGGUGAAAGACAUCGUUGGAUCGUUUAGAUGGGCUCCAUUCCUCCCGGUGCAAAAAUCCGACACUCUUCUCACAGUGCUACUGCUGCUGUCGAAUUAUCACAUGAAAAGCCUCCCGGUUGUGGAAUCUGGACGAGCAGAGAUACAAGGUCUCAUCACGCAAUCAGCAGUAGUUCAUGUUCUCUCGCAGUGCAUUGGCAUACCUUGGUUCGACAGCCUCGGUAAGCUGUCGUUAGCACAGCUUGGCCUCCCAUCGACAACAUCAGCCAAAAUGUUGAAGGCAUGCC